GGGGAAUUAGCUCAUUUGGUAGAGCGCCUGCUUUGCACGCAGGAGGUAAGGGGUUCGACUCCCCUAUUCUCCA
rnacentral:tRNA from 1 species